GUAUGUCUACAUAGAAGCAAAUGCAUUGAGCAUACUCCCAGGUACACGGAUAUAGUGAAAAGAGCAGAAUUUCAUGUAAGUGUACAUUCCUUGGAUCCAGGUUCAAUUCCUGACAUCUGCAGUUACCCUACCAUUGCCUCCUUCGAUUGGCACCCAACAUGAAGAUGUACCAAGAAACUGGAUAGCUGCCAGCUAGCUGGUAGUGCAGGACAUCAAUUUUUGACUUUAUUGUUGUGCUGGUCAGUGACUGUAAUAAAGUUUUGUUG